AUCGAUGAUGGACGGAACGGGGACGUAGCGGAUGAUCACUACCACCGGUACAUGGAAGAUGUGGAGAUCAUUCAUAGUUUGGGUGUCAACUCCUACAGAUUCUCAAUUUCAUGGGCGAGAAUCCUACCAAGCCGGCUUGGAGGCGUUAAUUCAGCUGGAGUAGCGUUCUACGACCGCCUGAUUGAUGCACUCGUGCACAAAGGGAUAGAGCCAUUUGUGACACUGCAUCACUUUGAUCUGCCGCACGAAAUGGAGACCCGAUACGGCGGUUGGCUGGGCGCCGAAAUCCGGGAGGAGUUUGACUACUACGCCGACGUGUGCUUCAAGGCGUUUGGUGACCGGGUGAAGUUCUGGGCAACGUUCAACGAGCCCAACCUGUUCACCAGGCUUGCAUACGUGCUGGGCAAGUACCCUCCGGCACGCUGCUCCACGCCGUUCGGGACAUGCAAGAGCGGGAACUCUCAUCGGGAACCCUACGUCGCGGCUCAUAACAUGCUGUUGUCACAUGCAGCCGCCGUCCACAACUACAAGAAGAAUUAUCAGGCAACGCAAGGCGGAUCGAUCGGUAUCGUGAUUGCGAUGAAAUGGUAUGAGCCGCUGACGAAUACCACGGAGGAUAUCCUGGCUGCGCGACGUGCCUUGUCUUUUGAGGUAGAUUGGUAUGUCCUCUUAUUUAUUCACCUUAGCACAAGUGCAACAACUAGUAUGAGAAUGUUCAUAUCAGCUUUACAUAGUUGUGCCACAAAAAAAAACUAUUAG
rnacentral:rRNA from 1 species